rnacentral:rRNA from 1 species
AUGCACGCUGGCGGCGUGCCUAAUACAUGCAAGUCGCGCGAACGGACGAGAAGCUUGCUUCUCUGAUGUUAGCGGCGGACGGGUGAGUAACACGUGGAUAACCUACCUAUAAGACUGGGAUAACUUCGGGAAACCGGAGCUAAUACCGGAUAAUAUUUUGAACCGCAUGGUUCAAAAGUGAAAGACGGUCUUGCUGUCACUUAUAGAUGGAUCCGCGCUGCAUUAGCUAGUUGGUAAGGUAACGGCUUACCAAGGCAACGAUGCAUAGCCGACCUGAGAGGGUGAUCGGCCACACUGGAACUGAGACACGGUCCAGACUCCUACGGGAGGCAGCAGUAGGGAAUCUUCCGCAAUGGGCGAAAGCCUGACGGAGCAACGCCGCGUGAGUGAUGAAGGUCUUCGGGUCGUAAAACUCUGUUAUUAGGGAAGAACAUAUGUGUAAGUAACUGUGCACAUCUUGACGGUACCUAAUCAGAAAGCCACGGCUAACUACGUG